rnacentral:lncRNA from 1 species
AGGCAACCCUGCCCAGUCCAAAACCGACUCAAACCCCUUAAAACCAAAACCAUUGAUCAAUAAUGAUCAAUUGCUCAUAAAACCCCACCCAUUUCCUUAUAUCCCUUCUCCCUAACCCUAAUCCUCAUUUUCUCUCUCACCCGCUGCCCUGGAACCCUCCUUCUUCUCUGAAGAACCCUAAAUCGCCGCUACUCCCUAAAUCCCUCUCCUAGUGGGAUUCACCUCACAUUUACUUGCCAUAUCUAUGGAUUUUUUAUACAUGUUGUUUCUCCACGGUAUUACUUAGUACUUGCCUAAACAUGGAAACUACUAUCUCUCCGAUUUUGUCCGAAUGAGUCAUAUUUCUUGAAUCUGGACCAUAUUGUCCGAAAGUGAUUUGCACUUUCUCUAAGAUAAACUAGGGUUUACUGAUUUUCUCUCUUAAAUCGAUUUCAAAUUGAUUUUCAUGUUUUCUUUCCUUGUUUAUUAUUUAUUUUACUUUGUUUCCUUAUAAAUUUGCCUGAUUUUUGACUAUACAAACCUCCUCAUUUUUUCCUACUGGUACAACUUUUAUAAUCGAUCCUUUUACUAAAAUUUGAGGUUUUGCUAUUCUAUUGUUUGAUAUUAUGUAUUGGCCGGCUAAAAUCCAAGGCCAUUAACAUCUAAAACUCGUUCCUGGUGCGAGAACUGCCUGAGCUCAUAGAGGCUCUUGGGAACAUUGACACGUUAGGGAUUGUGGAUUUUCUAUGGAAAUUUAUUUUUUAUUGUUCUUCGCUUAACUGGUGAGUUACUAGACUUUUUAAUUUCAUUCCUAAGCAUCUAUGGUUUGUACAUAUUUUCAUCCCUGAAGGUAGUCAACUCAAUAUGUUUUCCUAGGCCGUAUUUAUGUGUGAUUCUGUUUGGUUUUUUAGGUCCCAUUAACUUUUAGUUUCAAGCAUUCCAGGUUCUAUUGAAUUACGACCAGUUGAUGUGUUAAAAUUACUAUUGCUUAAGGCUCUUUCUGUGUUUAAUUUAUUCCUUUGUUUGAAUAUGCCUUUUUGCAUAAUUUUCAUUUCUUUUUGUCUACUACUGGAUUAAGUGAAAAACAUGAAUGUAUACACUCACUGUAUGGCUAAACUUGUUUUAGAUUUCUGUGGUAGUCUGUUUAUCUGACAUGUUUUGACCCUGCUCUCUAUCAGUAUGCUCUUUUAGUAUGAUUAACCCCCUUCUUGUUUCACCAGUAAUGGUAAUCUGCCUUUUUCUCAUGCUACCAUAUUACUUACUUAGCAUAAAUAUGAAUCUUUAUAGGGUAAUCAGUCUACUAAUUGUGGUAUACUUCACUAUGAUUUGCACUCUGUGACCUCUUAUCUCCUAAGAUUGGUUUUGUACCAUGUAGCAUCUUAACAUGUUUGAUUUAGAUCACUCCAAUACGAGUCUGACUAUUAUGGUUUUAUGUUGUUUCUGCUAUUAUUUUCAGAUAAUACAUUAACUCUAUGGAAAUCCCCCUUUUACUUGAAUGAAUCGUUGCUAAGUCAUGUGCUCUAAACUACUUUCAUUCCAUUCUGGUUUUUGGAAGACAAACAUUUUAUUUUUGAUAACUAGGACCUUACUCCUAUGUUAACAUGUUUUCAAUAUGUUUUGGUUCAUUUGCCAGUCUUUCCUUUCUGUAAUUAUCAAUAUGUGUAUCCCUCAAUUAUGUCCAAGUACUACGUAAUGUGGCAUAAGAUUAGACCUAACCUAAUCUAGACCUUUAAUUGCAACUAGUUCAACCUAUGUUUUGCAAACAUAUUUCUCCUCCUAACUCCAAUGAUAACUGUUUAUGUGGUACUUUGAUUAUGUGAACCUGGCUUGAAUUUGUUGGUCUACUUGACUAGUUGUGCUGUAUGAUCAUUCUGGGAAUUUUUAUCCUUCCUCCCUACCUGUUACUUUGGUAUUCUGAAUUCCUAUUCGUAGCCGGCUGAAAACCAAGUCUACAUAGGUUCUUUGUUGGCCUCUCCAGUGUGAGCACUGCUCGGAGUCCAUUUGAGGCCCUCGUGAACUCUGACACACUAAGGGGUUUGUCCUUUGUCAUUCCUCUAACCCCCUCCCCCCCCCCCCNN